rnacentral:rRNA from 1 species
AGAGUUUGAUCCUGGCUCAGGAUGAACGCUAGCGACAGGCUUAACACAUGCAAGUCGAGGGGCAGCGGGGACGAAGCUUGCUUCGUCUGCCGGCGACCGGCGCACGGGUGAGUAACACGUAUGCGACCUGCCCCCCGCAGGGGGAUAACCGGGAGAAAUCCCGACUAAUACCGCGUAACGCCGCGGGGCUGCAUGGCCCCGCGGCCAAAGGAAGCGAUUCCGGCGGGGGAUGGGCAUGCGGCGCAUUAGCUAGUCGGCGGGGCAACGGCCCACCGAGGCGACGAUGCGUAGGGGUUCUGAGAGGAAGGUCCCCCACACUGGUACUGAGACACGGACCAGACUCCUACGGGAGGCAGCAGUGAGGAAUAUUGGUCAAUGGGCGGGAGCCUGAACCAGCCAAGUCGCGUGAGGGAAGACGGUCCUACGGAUUGUAAACCUCUUUUGCCGGGGAGCAACGGGGUCCUUGCGAGGGCCCGAUGAGAGUACCCGGAGAAAAAGCAUCGGCUAACUCCGUGCCAGCAGCCGCGGUAAUACGGAGGAUGCGAGCGUUAUCCGGAUUUAUUGGGUUUAAAGGGUGCGUAGGCGGGCUGUUAAGUCAGCGGUCAAAUGUCGGGGCUCAACCCCGGCCUGCCGUUGAAACUGGCGGCCUCGAGUGGGCGAGAAGUAUGCGGAAUGCGUGGUGUAGCGGUGAAAUGCAUAGAUAUCACGCAGAACUCCGAUUGCGAAGGCAGCAUACCGGCGCCCGACUGACGCUGAGGCACGAAAGCGUGGGUACCGAACAGGAUUAGAUACCCUGGUAGUCCACGCAGUAAACGAUGAAUGCUAGCUGUCCGGUUCUACGGGACUGGGUGGCACAGCGAAAGCGUUAAGCAUUCCACCUGGGGAGUACGCCGGCAACGGUGAAACUCAAAGGAAUUGACGGGGGCCCGCACAAGCGGAGGAACAUGUGGUUUAAUUCGAUGAUACGCGAGGAACCUUACCCGGGCUCAAACGCCAAAGGACAGCCGUUGAAAGGCGGCCUCCCUCCGGGGUCUUUGGCGAGGUGCUGCAUGGUUGUCGUCAGCUCGUGCCGUGAGGUGUCGGCUUAAGUGCCAUAACGAGCGCAACCCCCAUCGACAGUUGCUAACGGGUAGAGCCGAGGACUCUGUCGAGACUGCCGGCGCAAGCUGCGAGGAAGGCGGGGAUGACGUCAAAUCAGCACGGCCCUUACGUCCGGGGCGACACACGUGUUACAAUGGCCGGUACAGCGGGAUGCCAGGGCGCGAGCCCGAGCGGAACCCGAAAACCGGUCUCAGUUCGGAUUGGAGUCUGCAACCCGACUCCAUGAAGCUGGAUUCGCUAGUAAUCGCGCAUCAGCCACGGCGCGGUGAAUACGUUCCCGGGCCUUGUACUCACCGCCCGUCAAG